rnacentral:lncRNA from 1 species
GUUUGUCAGUGUGACUCUGGGACUCAAGUGGUUUGAGACCAGCCUGGCCAAUAUGGUGAAACACCAUUUCUAAAAAAAAUACAAAAAUUAGCUGGGUGUGGUGAUGUGCACCUAUAGUCCCAGCUACUCAGGAGGCUGAAGAAGGAGAAUUUUUUGAACCCAGGAGGCGGAGGCUGCAGUGAGCCGAGAUCACACCACUGGACUCCAGCCUGGGUGACAGAGCGAGACUCUGUCUCAAAAAAAAAAAAAAAAAAACCAAAAAACUUGGAAAUAACCAUGACUAGUUUGAAUUAAUGUUUCAUCCAGCCCCCAGAUCUGUGCAAACUAUGGCCAUAGGGAAUGAACCAUCAGUGGAUGUAAUUUUUCAUCCUGACAUCAACCUUAUAGUUCCUGAACUACCUGAAUUCUAUCCAUGGCCCCACUAGGAAGUUAUGAAGAUUUAACACUCCUGCCUUGGAAUAACACAAAUGCUCUCUGAGAACUCAAUUCUCCCUUGAGAGAGACCUGCCCUGGCACUAUGGAAUAAGCAUGCUACGUUAACUUUCUAAAGGCCACUGGGGAACAAUUUACUGAACUGCAAACUUAAAGAUACUUCCUCUGUGCUCCUUUGCUGUUGAUUUCCUCCCCAAUUCUCAGGUAUUUCUACACUGACUUAUUGGAUUGAAUCAGAAUUCCUGUUGUUGGGGCCCUGAUAUUGGGGUAGUCAAGGCGAGAGUGCUGAAAGUUCUUACAAAGGUGAAGUGGCUGAAUUAAAGUUAUACAUCUACUCAAUAGGAGAGGGGAGACUUGAACAAUAGUGGUUUAACUCCAUAGCCUAUGCUCUUUUUGCAACGCGCUUUAAAUAAAUUAC